rnacentral:ncRNA from 1 species
CUGACGGAAGCGCAUGGGUAGAGCUCGGGUUUGAGCGCCCAGCGUACCUUCCUGAGCCUAAAGGGGCAAAGGAAGGAGAGCGCGUGAACGUCAG